UUCAGUUACUAGCUCAGAUUUAUUGUUAUAUUUAGCUUCUGAACUUAAUCAAAUGGAGAAAGCAUAUUGUAUAUUGAAUAUUUGGUUGCGCAUUCUUUUGAACUAAUGUGUCCAUCUUAGAGGAUUAACUUGUGAUGUCAGUCGCUAUUUAGUGUUUGGUUCUUAAUCGCAAGGAAGAAUGUCUAAUGGCAAACCACGGGUGUGAUGAUUUAUAUAUGCAUAUAUAAAUCAGAGUAGUCAAUCCCUGAUAGCGGCGCGGAGCCGCUGACCCUAAAAAUAGGAUAGCGUAUAGCAGGAUGACCACUAUUUGAUCAUUUUUUGGAUCAAAGUGCAAAGGGAAGAACUUUUGAUUUUUGUUUUGAAUAGUUGAAGUACAAAAACGUCAGUGAAGGAAGAGGGGAAAGGAUAGCAGAACAGAAACCACUUCGGGCCGAGAACUGCUCUGCCCCUGCUAUCUGCUAAUUACUCUAUAGCGGCCGCUAUUGUGUUCUGCACCGCUAAGGCUUUUCCCGUAGCGGUCAGCCUCUGAUCUGCUCCGCUGUAGCGGGAUAGCGCUGCUAUUGACUACUCUUAUAAACAAAUAAUGGCCACUAUCUUUUGAGCUGAGCUGAUGGAAAAACUCUCACUUAUCAGCAUUUGUCAAUGGGAGGAUAUUUGUUGGUAGAGUUUGAAGAAACAAAGGAAAGUUCUAUUAUUUAGAUCCCAAGCUGCAUGAAUCUGCAUAAACUUAGUUUUUCCAUGUGGUCAUGGCUCUUAAGCACUAAGGUAAUUCUCGCAAAAAGCUUGCAAAAUGUCAGUCAUGUUCAUAAGUUAGGUGCAACAUUAUCAUUUAAUAAGGAUUAAGGAAGCAUGGUGCCACUACCCGAUGCACUAACUCUAUGAUUUCCCACUUCUCUAAACUAAGUCUUAAAGUUAUAGAGGAUGUGAGAAAAUCAAACAUAACUGAUCCAAACACAGUGUCCAAUGUAGGAUUGGUCAACUUGUGAAAGAUCGUAAAACUCGAAUCUUUAGCACGACAUGUAAGAUCCUACCGAAGGGAAAAAGGGUAAUUUCACACACACACACACACACACACACACACACACACACACA